rnacentral:misc_RNA from 1 species
GAAAUGCGAUACUUGGUGUGAAUUGCAGAAUCCCGUGAACCAUCGAGUCUUUGAACGCACAUUGCGCCCCUUGGUAUUCCGAGGGGCAUGCCUGUUCGAGCGUCAUUAUAACCCUUCAAGCUCAGCUUGGUGUUGGGGCCUGCCGCACAGGCAGCCCUUAAAAUCAGUGGCGGUGCUAUCUGGCUCUAAGCGUAGUAAUUCUCCUCGCUAUAGAGUCCCGGUGGAUGCUUGCCAUUAACCCCCAAUUUUCUAUGGUUGACCUCGGAUCAGGUAGGGAUACCCGCUGAACUUAA